rnacentral:rRNA from 1 species
UACAGAGGUCUCAAGCGUUGUUCGGAUUCAUUGGGCGUAAAGGGUGCGUAGGCGGCGCGGUAAGUCGGGUGUGAAAUCUCGGGGCUUAACUCCGAAACUGCAUUCGAUACUGCCGUGCUUGAGGACUGGAGAGGAGACUGGAAUUUACGGUGUAGCGGUGGAAUGCGUAGAUACCGUAAGGAAGACCAGUGGCGAAGGCGGCAUCCUGGACCGACACUGACGCUGAGGAGCGAAAGCGUGGGGAGCGAACAGG